rnacentral:rRNA from 1 species
AUGGGAGGUCAUACCAUGCUCAGAUUGCUCACGGGGUUGGCCCUAUGGUGCCUCGUGAUCAACUUCACCAGGGGCAAAGCUGCGUGCAUCGGCGUGGAGAGGGAUGCACUGGCUGCCUUCAACGCCAGCAUCACUGAUGCUGGUGGGAGGUUACGCUCAUGGCAAGGAGAAAACUGCUGCAACUGGGGCGGUGUGAGCUGCAGCAAGAAGACCGGCCAUGUCGUCAAGCUGGACCUUGGUGGUUACUCCCUCAAAGGCGAGAUCAGUCCAUCUUUGGCUGCUUUGACCAGAUUGGUGCACCUCAACCUGAGCCAUGGUGACUUUGGUGCGGUGCCCAUCCCGGAAUUCAUAGGCUCCUUCAAGAUGUUGAGGUAUCUUGAUCUGUCGCAUGCCGGUUUUGGUGGAAUAGCUCCUCCUCAACUCGGUAAUUUGUCGAGACUCGUCUAUCUUGAUCUGGGUUCGUUUGGAGGUCCUGGGAUCACUGUCAAUAACUUCCGUUGGGUUUCCAAGCUGACAUCCCUGAGGUAUCUCGACCUCAGUUGGUUGUAUCUUGCCGCUUCUGUGGAUUGGCUGCAGGCAGUGAACAUGCUACCAUCACUCCAAGUGCUUCGCCUGAAUGAUGCUAGUCUUCCUGCCACCGACCUCACUUCUCUUUCUCAAGUCAACUUCACUUCCCUUACGCUGCUUAAUCUGAAGAAUAACGAUCUGAAUUCCUCCAUGCCGAAUUGGAUUGACAAGCUAUCUGCCCUCUCAGAGUUGGACAUGACUAGUUGUGGGCUUUCGGGCAUGAUUCCUGAUGACCUUGGCAAACUGACUUCACUUAUGUUCAUAGGGCUUGGGGACAACAAGUUGACUGGAGCAAUACCAACAUCAGCUAGUAGGUUGUGCAACUUGGUUCAAAUCAGUUUGUCCGGGAACAUCUUGUCAGGAGAUAUUGCAGAAGCAGCCAAGAGCCUAUUUCCUUGUAUGAAGCAGUUGCAGAUCCUUGAACUUGCUGGUAAUAACUUAACCAGAAACCUAUCUGGUUGGCUUGAGGUCAUGUCAGGCUUAAGAAUCCUUGAUCUCAGUGCGAACUCACUGUCUGGAGUUGUGCCACAUGGUAUUGGUAACCUAUCAAGCCUGACAUACUUGGAUAUAUCCUUCAACAGAUUUAAAGGCACACUAUCGGAACUCCACUUUGCCAAUUUGUUAAGAUUGGAUACUUUAGAUCUAGCAUCAAAUUCAUUCGAGAUUGUAGUCAAACAAAGCUGGAUGCCACCUUUUCAGCUCAUAAAUCUCGGACUGCAUGACUGCCUUGUAGGACCAGAGUUUCCAACUUGGCUGCAAUCACAAACUAUAAUCGAGAUGACCGAUCUAGGCAGUGCAGGCAUCAGGGGUCCAUUACCUGACUGGAUCUGGAACUUCUCUUUGUCAAUGACUAGCUUAAAUGUCUCAACAAACAACAUAACUGGUAUGUUGCCUGCAAGCUUGGAGCAAUUGACAAUGCUAACAACUCUAAGCAUGAGAAAUAAUAAGCUUCAAGGUAACAUUCCAGAUUUGCCGCUUAGCAUCCGAGUGUUGGACCUAUCCUGCAACAACUUAUCAGGACCAUUGCCACAUAGCUUUCGAGACAAAGAAUUGCAUUACCUAUCACUGUCAAAAAAUUACAUUAGUGGAGUAAUCCCAACAGAUUUUUGCAACAUGAUAUCAUUGGAACUGAUUGACCUAUCUGAUAACAACCUUUCAGGACAGCUUCCCAAUUGUUGGCAAAAGAAAUCGGAGCUGUAUGCCGUAGACUUUUCAAGCAAUAACUUGUGGGGAGAAAUACCAUCUACCAUGGGUUCUCUAAAUUCCCUCAUGUCACUGCAUCUUAGCAAGAACAGGUUGUCAGGAGUAUUGCCCACCUCAUUGCAGUCAUGUCAAAUGUUGAUGUUCCUUGAUCUUGCAGAAAAUAAUUUGUCAGGAAACAUACCAAAAUGGAUAGGUGACAGCCUAAAAUCUCUGAUACUUGUGAGGUUGGGGUCCAAUCAGUUUUCUGGUGGAAUACCUGAAGAACUGUCCCAACUUCCUGCUCUGCAUUAUUUGGAUCUUUCGAACAACAAACUAUCUGGCCCUGUACCACAUUUUUGGGGAAAUUUAACAGCCUUGCACCUGGUCAAUCAAGACCAAGACAGAAGAACAUCGCCUUUCCUUCAGUACAAGGUUUAUGGUCUUGGGGGUGCUUACUUUUUCGUAUACACAGAUACCUUGGAGGUAAUGACGAAAGGUCAUAAUUUUCUUUAUGAGGAAGAAAUGUACGUGAUGAAGGGCAUUGACCUCUCAGCAAACCUAUUAAGUGGUGAGAUUCCAAACGAAAUAGGAUUUUUAUCUUCACUGAUUAACUUGAAUCUGUCAAGGAACCACAUUGGAGGAAGUAUCCCUGCUGAACUUGGGAAUUUGGUGGAUUUAGAGUCACUCGAUCUCUCAUGGAAUGAUCUAUCAGGUCCAAUUCCCGACAGCUUUGCGUCGCUAACUUCUUUGGGCUUCCUGAAUUUGUCCUACAAUGAUCUCUCAGGAAAGAUACCGUCAAGAAAUCAGCUCGCAACUUUUGAUAAUUACUCUUUCUGGGGAAAUGAAAAUCUCUGCGGGCCUCCACUUGACAGAAUCUGUGUACCCGAGAGUAACAAACACUGGCACCACAAACAUCAUCUCAGAUUCGACACGCUGACAUGUCUAUUUACACUGCUCGGGUUUGCAUUCGGAAUCUCCACUGUGUUCACCACCUUCAUAUGCAGCGUGGUCACGAGGAAGGCUUACUUUCGGUUCACCAACAGGGUGCUCGGCAAGCUGCGGACUGCAGUGGAGAUGAAGCUUAGCAUCAACAGGAUGAUGCCAGCAGGAGGAGACCCCUCCAUGGCAACACGGAGUCAGGACUCCAUCACUUGCUACGAGCUGGAACAAUCUUCCACUGCUAUUAUGUAA